CACCGCGGUUAUACGAGGGGCCCAAAUUAAUAAGUACGGCGUAAAGGGUGGUUAAAAAAUUUUUUACUAGGGUCGAACAAGUCCCAAACUGUUAUACGUUAUGGACUAAGGAACACCGCUAAACGAAAGUAGCCCUAAAUAUUUGAACCCACGAAAGUUAGGGGA
rnacentral:rRNA from 1 species